rnacentral:rRNA from 1 species
CGCGUAGGCGGCCGAUCAAGUCAGGCGUGAAAUUCCCGGGCUCAACCUGGGGGCUGCGCUUGAUACUGAUUGGCUUGAAUGCGGGAGAGGAUAGUGGAAUUCCCAGUGUAGAGGUGAAAUUCGUAGAUAUUGGGAAGAACACCGGUGGCGAAGGCGGCUAUCUGGCCCGUAAUUGACGCUGAGGCGCGAAAGCGUGGGGAGCAAACA